rnacentral:rRNA from 1 species
CCUACGGGAGGCUGCAGUGGGGAAUAUUGGUCAAUGGGCGCGAGCCUGAACCAGCCACGUCGCGUGAGGGAGGACGGCCCUACGGGUUGUAAACCCCUUUUGCCGGGGAGCAACGGGCGCCACGUGUGGCGCCACUGAGAGUACCCGGCGAAAAAGCAUCGGCUAACUCCGUGCCAGCAGCCGCGGUAAUACGGAGGAUGCGAGCGUUAUCCGGAUUUAUUGGGUUUAAAGGGUGCGUAGGCGGAUCGUUAAGUCAGUGGUCAAAUGGAGGGGCUCAACCCCUUCCCGCCAUUGAAACUGGCGUUCUUGAGUGGAAGAGAGGUAUGCGGAAUGCGUGGUGUAGCGGUGAAAUGCAUAGAUAUCACGCAGAACCCCGAUUGCGAAGGCAGCAUGCCGGCUUCCGACUGACGCUGAAGCACGAAAGCGUGGGGAGCGAACAGGAUUAGAUACCCUUGUAGUC